AGAGUUUGAUCCUGGCUCAGGACGAACGCUGGCGGCGUGCUUAACACAUGCAAGUCGAACGGUGAGAUCGGGGCUUGCCCUGGUUGAUCAGUGGCGAACGGGUGAGUAACACGUGAGUAACCUGCCCCAGACUCUGGGAUAACCCCGGGAAACCGGAGCUAAUACCGGAUAUGACCUCUGCCUGCAUGGGCUGGGGGUGGAAAGUUUUUCGGUCUGGGAUGGGCUCGCGGCCUAUCAGCUUGUUGGUGAGGUAGUGGCUCACCAAGGCGACGACGGGUAGCCGGCCUGAGAGGGCGACCGGCCACACUGGGACUGAGACACGGCCCAGACUCCUACGGGAGGCAGCAGUGGGGAAUAUUGCACAAUGGGCGCAAGCCUGAUGCAGCGACGCCGCGUGAGGGAUGACGGCCUUCGGGUUGUAAACCUCUUUCAGCAGGGAAGAAGCGUGAGUGACGGUACCUGCAGAAGAAGCACCGGCUAACUACGUGCCAGCAGCCGCGGUAAUACGUAGGGUGCGAGCGUUGUCCGGAAUUAUUGGGCGUAAAGAGCUUGUAGGCGGUUUGUCGCGUCUGCUGUGAAAAUCCGGGGCUCAACCCCGGACUUGCAGUGGGUACGGGCAGACUAGAGUGUGGUAGGGGAGACUGGAAUUCCUGGUGUAGCGGUGGAAUGCGCAGAUAUCAGGAGGAACACCGAUGGCGAAAGCAGGUCUCUGGGCCACUACUGACGCUGAG
rnacentral:rRNA from 1 species